AUUGAACGCUGGCGGCAGGCCUAACACAUGCAAGUCGAACGGUAACAGGAAGAAGCUUGCUUCUUUGCUGACGAGUGGCGGACGGGUGAGUCAUGUCUGGGAAACUGCCUGAUGGAGGGGGAUAACUACUGGAAACGGUAGCUAAUACCGCAUAACGUCGCAAGACCAAAGAGGGGGACCUUCGGGCCUCUUGCCAUCGGAUGUGCCCAGAUGGGAUUAGCUAGUAGGUGGGGUAACGGCUCACCUAGGCGACGAUCCCUAGCUGGUCUGAGAGGAUGACCAGCCACACUGGAACUGAGACACGGUCCAGACUCCUACGGGAGGCAGCAGUGGGGAAUAUUGCACAAUGGGCGCAAGCCUGAUGCAGCCAUGCCGCGUGUAUGAAGAAGGCCUUCGGGUUGUAAAGUACUUUCAGCGGGGAGGAAGGGAGUAAAGUUAAUACCUGUGCUCAUUGACGUUACCCGAAGAAGAAGCACCGGCUAACUACGUG
rnacentral:rRNA from 1 species